AUACGGAGGGUGCAAGCGUUGUUCGUAAUUACUGGGCGUAAAGCGCGCGUAGGCGGUCUGUUAUGUCAGAUGUGAAAGUCCUCGGCUCAACCGGGGAAGUGCAUUUGAAACUGGCAGACUUGAGUACUUGAGGGGGUGGUGGAAUUCCCGGUGUAGAGGUGAAAUUCGUAGAUAUCGGGAGGAAUACCGGUGGCGAAGGCGACCACCUGGCCAGAUACUGACGCUGAGGUGCGAAAGCGUGGGGAGCAAACAGGAUUAGAAACCCCAGUAGUCC
rnacentral:rRNA from 1 species